UGGGGAAUUUUGGACAAUGGGGGCAACCCUGAUCCAGCCAUGCCGCGUGUGUGAAGAAGGCCUUCGGGUUGUAAAGCACUUUCGGACGGAACGAAAUCGCGCGAUCUAAUAAGUCGCGUGGAUGACGGUACCGUAAGAAGAAGCACCGGCAAACUACGUGCCAGCAGCCGCGGUAAUACGUAGGGUGCGAGCGUUAAUCGGAAUUACUGGGCGUAAAGUGUGCGCAGGUGGCUGAGCAAGUCGAGCGUGAAAUCCCCGGGCUUAACUUGGGAAUUGCGCUCGAAACUACUUGGCUCGAGUGUGGCAGAGGAAGGUGGAAUUCCAGGUGUAGCGGUGAAAUGCGUAGAGAUCUGGAGGAACACCGAUGGCGAAGGCGGCCUUCUGGGCCAACACUGACGCUCAUGCACGAAAGCGUGGGGAGCAAACAGGAUUAGAUACCCUGGUAGUCCACGCCCUAAACGAUGAUGACUAGUUGUU
rnacentral:rRNA from 1 species